UACGUAGGGUGCAAGCGUUGUCCGGAAUUAUUGGGCGUAAAGAGCGUGUAGGCGGCCCGAUUAGUCCGCUGUGAAAGUCCAGGGCUCAACCCUGGAAUGCCGGUGGAUACUGUCGGGCUAGAGUCCGGAAGGGGCGAGUGGAAUUCCUGGUGUAGCGGUGAAAUGACGCAGAUAUCAGGAGGAACACCAAUGGCGAAGGCAGCUCGCUGGGACGUGACUGACGCUGAGACGCGAAAGCGUGGGGAGCGAACAGG
rnacentral:rRNA from 1 species